rnacentral:piRNA from 1 species
UAAGUUCGAGAUAAGUUAUGUUU